GAGAAAACAUGCUUCCAUCUUCUGCUUAGAAACCUUGUAAAAGAUUAAAUAAAGUUGCCUGAGAUUGACCAAUACACUGUUUCCUCUAUCUUGUGCACAGACCACUAACACUCAUGCAUAGUUUCCACACCAUGUGCAGCUUUAUUCACUUGAACAGUUGCACUUGCAUUACUAAAUCAUUACUGCCCCCUAGUGGCACACAUCAGUACAUCUCCCUUUUUUCUUUUUUUCUUUUUUUUAUGUUCCCAUGUAACAAUCAACUAGUAAAUGAAAUAAAACUUCUUUCAACUUUUUCUUCUUAUUUUAACAUUCUUAACUUUCAACAAAGUGUCACAUACACUUUAGUAUUUGUUCCCCCUCUUCUUCUUCUUUUUUUGUCUUCUUUUUUUUUUCUUCUUUUACCGGUGUGACGCAGGCUGGCUCUGCUAAGAGCAUCGGCCACUACGAGUAGUUUACCUGGAGUUACUCAAACGUCAGAUGGUACUUCUGAAAGCGCAACAGAAGACGCUGGACACGUGGUGGUGCAUCAGGGCCUUCGUUGAAAUCGCAAUCAGAGGUUUGUGGUCAGUCUCUACAAUCACUUCCCUGCCAUACACAUAUUCAUGAAACUUCUCACAGCCGAAAACUACACCUAAUGUCUCUCUUUCUAUCUGUGUGUAAUUUCUCUCUGCUGCUGUCAUUGUGUGUGAUGCGUACACUAUGGGAAACCACUCAGUUCCAUGUUUUUGGAGUAAUACCGCUCCAAGUCCAUCUUUGGACGCAGCGGUCGACACUUUGACUGGUUUCUCUGGGUCAUAAAAUUUAAGCACCGGCUCUUUGAUGAGGCUGUUCUUAAGUACUUCCCAUUCUUGGGCAUGCUGGUGCUCCCGUUGCCAUUCACUCUUUUUUCCAGCAAACUACGCAUUGCUUUUGUGUUGGCGGAAAGCUUGGGUAUGAAUUUACUCAUGUUAUUGAUUAACCCCAGUGCUCUCUGUAACUCUGUUUUGUCUUUAGGCGCUGGCAUGUCAACUACAGCUCACGGUUUUUCCGGGUCUGGCUGUAUUCCUGCCGUGGAUAGCUUAUCUCCAAGGAAUACCUUCCAUACCAUCAAACAGCUGUUGCACUGUUCUGUGAAAUACCUCUGACGCCAAACAGAUAGCAAAAGUGUCACUCUGCGUAACUGCUUUGCUGUUGAUCACAUGAACUCUCUUUAUGAGCCCCAAAUUUUCACAAGGGUACAGUCACUCCGUUGACAUCUAUCCACUUAUCCUUGGUGCUCACUUCAUCCACCACAGCCUCCACGAAGAACUGCUCAUCCUCAUCACUGCUGUCACUGGUGUCCUUGGCUCUUUCAACAACUCGGACUUUCUUUUUAGUCAAGCAGCAUCUUGCAAAAUGAUUUUUUCCACCACACUUGCGUCAGUCUUUGCCAUAAGCUGGGCAUUUCUGUGGUGCAUGGUUGGUACCACAUCUGUUACGGUCCUUACCGUUCUUCCAUCUCGCUUUGCAGUGUUUUGCAGAGUUUCAACAAGGCCCUUAGUUGUAUUGAAAAUGUACUUUUUGUAUACUUCAAAUCAUAAAAAGUGAUUUUACAGUGUUUUAAAUAGCUAAAUCACACAUGAAAUAAUUUAUUUUAAUUUCAAAUUAGGUUUGUUAGCCAAAUGCCAUUUGUUAAUGUAUUUUAAAUGUGUUUAGUCUAUAAUAUCCUGUGUGCAUUAAUGCACUUGAAAUGUACUUUUCUUCUGAACUUCAACACACUUAAACGGUAUACUCCAGCACAACUUAUUGUUGAAAUGAUUCUCACCAGCUCCUGUUCUAUCAAGUGCCAGUUCUACUUACUAUUUGAUAUGAAGUGUUAUUUAUAAGAGGAGUACUGUAUUUGUAGCACUUAUUGUAAUAGUGAUGUACUGUACUUUACAUAUGUGUACAGAAUACUUUCAAUAUCAUUUUGUUCUAAGUUGAUUAAACACACAUUGGUAACACUUUAGUAUGGACAACACAUAUUCACUAUUACCUAUGACUUUUCCCUCAAUAAACUCCUACUUACUGCUUAUUAAUAGUUAGUAAGGUAUUUGCUAAGUUCAGGUAUAGAGUGGGAUUAAGAAUGUAGAAUAAGGUCAUGCAGAAUAAGGCAUUAAUAUGUGCUUAAUAAGUAGUAAUAAACACCCAAUAUUCUAGUAGUAUGCAUGCUAAUAAGCAACUAGUUAAAAGACCGUAAAAUAAAGUGU